rnacentral:tRNA from 1 species
GCGCCCGUAGCUCAAUUGGAUAGAGCACCGGACUUCUAAUCCGGAUACUGCAGGUUCGAGUCCUGCCGGGCGUA